rnacentral:rRNA from 1 species
AGCGAACGCUGGCGGCAGGCCUAACACAUGCAAGUCGAACGGAUCCUUCGGGAUUAGUGGCGGACGGGUGAGUAACACGUGGGAACGUGCCCUUUGGUUCGGAACAACUCAGGGAAACUUGAGCUAAUACCGGAUGUGCCCUUGGGGAAGGAUUAUCGCCAUUGGAGCGGCCCGCGUCUGAUUAGCUAGUUGGUGGGGUAAAGGCCCACCAAGGCGACGAUCAGUAGCUGGUCUGAGAGGAUGAUCAGCCACAUUGGGACUGAGACACGGCCCAAACUCCUACGGGAGGCAGCAGUGGGGAAUCUUGCGCAAUGGGCGAAAGCCUGACGCAGCCAUGGCCGCGUGAAUGAUGAAGGUCUUAGGAUUGU